AUCCAGCUGACGAGUCGUAAAUAGGACGAAACGCUCGUCCUGGAU
rnacentral:hammerhead_ribozyme from 1 species